AGUGCAGGUCGUUCUAUCGCGUUUAUAAAUUUAUAAAUGAGGAAAGUCUGAGCAGCACAGAACAGUUUGACAGCUAACUGCUGUAUGUAGUAAUACAUGGAAAGUGCCACAGAAAAUUGUACAGGUCAAGCUGUAGUGAAAUUGUUUUUAUAGUAAUAUAUUAACUAGGCAAACCCCAAACGCUGAAACAUCAUGUAAACCAACG
rnacentral:RNase_P_RNA from 1 species